rnacentral:ncRNA from 2 species
ACGUUAUAAAGAAAGGUUGAGGGAUUAGACCCAUUGAAACCUUGGCAACCCUACAGUAUUGUAGAAGGUGCCUCAUUCUACCACCAUAUUUGUGGACAGAUAACAA